CCUACGGGCGACAGCAGUGAGGAAUAUUGGUCAAUGGACGAGAGUCUGAACCAGCCAAGUAGCGUGAAGGAUGACUGCCCUAUGGGUUGUAAACUUCUUUUAUAUGGGAAUAAAAUGUUCCACGUGUGGGAUUUUGUAUGUACCAUAUGAAUAAGGAUCGGCUAACUCCGUGCCAGCAGCCGCGGUAAUACGGAGGAUCCGAGCGUUAUCCGGAUUUAUUGGGUUUAAAGGGAGCGUAGGUGGAUUGUUAAGUCAGUUGUGAAAGUUUGCGGCUCAACCGUAAAAUUGCAGUUGAAACUGGCAGUCUUGAGUACAGUAGAGGUGGGCGGAAUUCGUGGUGUAGCGGUGAAAUGCUUAGAUAUCACGAAGAACUCCGAUUGCGAAGGCAGUUCACUGGACUGCAACUGACACUGAGGCUCGAAAGUGUGGGUAUCAAACAGGAUUAGAUACCCGAAUAGUC
rnacentral:rRNA from 1 species